rfam:Schistosoma rodhaini strain Burundi genome assembly, scaffold: SROB_scaffold0009699
AUUCAGUUGGCGAGUCCAAAAUAGAACGAAAGGCGCGUCCUGGAU